rnacentral:rRNA from 1 species
UACGUAGGUGACAAGCGUUGUCCGGAUUUACUGGGCGUAAAGAGCGCGCAGGCGGUCGUUCAAGUCGAGUGUGAAAGCCCCCGGCUCAACUGGGGAGGGUCAUUCGAUACUGAUCGACUCGAAGGCAGGAGAGGGAAGUGGAAUUCCCGGUGUAGUGGUGAAAUGCGUAGAUAUCUGGAGGAACACCGGUGGCGAAGGCGGCAUCCUGGACCGACACUGACGCUGAGGAGCGAAAGCCAGGGGAGCAAACGGG